GACAGAGGCCUCAAGCGUUAGGCGGAAUCACUGGGCUUAAAGCGUGUGUAGGCGGAUGCCUAAGUACCUUGUGAAAUCCCACGGCUCAACCGUGGAACUGCUGGGUAUACUGGGCGUCUUGGGCCAUUCAGGGGCGACUGGAACAAGCGGUGGAGCGGUGAAAUGCGUAGAUAUCGCUUGGAACGCCGAAGGUGAAAACAGGUCGCUGGGGAUGUGCCGACGCUGAGACACGAAAGCCAGGGGGAGCAAACGGGG
rnacentral:rRNA from 1 species